GACUCCAUGAAGCUGGAUUCGCUAGUAAUCGCGCAUCAGCCACGGCGCGGUGAAUACGUUCCCGGGCCUUGUACACACCGCCCGUCAAGCCAUGGAAGCCGGGGGUGCCUGAAGUGCGCUGCCGCAAGGAGCGCCCUAGGGUAAAACCGGUGACUGGGCUAAGUCGUAACAAGGUAUC
rnacentral:rRNA from 1 species